rnacentral:SRP_RNA from 1 species
GCCGGGCAUGGUGGUGUGUGCCUGUAAUCCCAGCUACUCGGGAGGCUGAGGCGGGAGAAUCACUUGAACCCAGGAGGCGGAGGUUGCAGUGAGCCACGAUUGCACCAUUGCACUCCAGCCUGGGUGACAGAGCGAGACUCCGUCUCAA